rnacentral:rRNA from 1 species
AUGGCCGUACCAUGCUGAAUAUACCGGUUCUCGUUAGAUCACCGAAGUCAAGCAUCAUUGGGCGCGGUCAGUACUUGGGUGGGUGACCACCUGGGAACACCGCGUGCCGUUA